rnacentral:rRNA from 1 species
AGGACGAACGCUGGCGGCGUGCUUAACACAUGCAAGUCGAGCGGAAAGGCCUUUCGGGGUACUCGAGCGGCGAACGGGUGAGUAACACGUGAGUAAUCUGCCCAUCGCUUCAGGAUAGCCAUCGGAAACGGUGAUUAAUACUGGAUAUGACAUUCCUUCGCAUGUUGGGGUGUGGAAAGUUUUUUCGGCGGUGGAUGUGCUCGCGGCCUAUCAGCUUGUUGGUGGGGUAAUGGCCUACCAAGGCUUUGACGGGUAGCCGGCCUGAGAGGGUGACCGGCCACACUGGGACU